UCCAGACUCCUACGGGAGGCAGCAGUGGGGAAUAUUGCACAAUGGGGGAAACCCUGAUGCAGCGACGCCGCGUGGGUGACGAAGUAUUUCGGUAUGUAAAGCCCUCUCAGCAGGGAAGAAGAUGACAGUACCUGACCAAGAAGCCCCGGCUAACUACGUGCCAGCAGCCGCGGUAAUACGUAGGGGGCAAGCGUUAUCCGGAUUUACUGGGUGUAAAGGGAGCGUAGGUGGCAUGGCAAGCCAGAAGUGAAAACCCGGGGCUUAACCCCGCGGAUUGCUUUUGGAACUGUCAGGCUGGAGUGCAGGAGGGGCAGGCGGAAUUCCUGGUGUAGCGGUGAAAUGCGUAGAUAUCAGGAGGAACACCGGUGGCGAAGGCGGCUUACUGGACUGUAACUGACGUUGAGGCUCGAAAGCGUGGGGAGCAAACAGGAUUAGAUACCCCAGUACG
rnacentral:rRNA from 1 species